UAUUUGCCAUAGUGUGUGUGUUCUGCUAUUAUUGUAUUUCAGUACCUAUUGUUUUUUUUGUUAAUCCAGACAUGUUUUUGUCGAACGACAACGGAGUAACGUUAGUUAGCUUAUAUAGGCUAAAUAUGGUCCUUUUCACCCCGUUUACCAUAUUGAUCGUGCACGAUUAAAAUGGCUCCACGAUCUGCUUUUGAAGAAAUAUCAUAGUAUCCUGCUACAGUGCAUUCAGUAGUUGGUAAUGUGUUGGUUAUGUGAUAUAUCUAAAGUGAAAUUAAACAUUUGAGAGAAAACUACUCGGUUACUAUGGUAACCUCAGUUCCCUGUGACCCAGAUAGCAAAAAAUAUCUGCACGGCUUCUUUUUGCCGCCGGCCCUAAACUGUCGGCUAUAGGUGCGUCCUGCUGGCGGGGAUGAAACGUUUGCCGCCGAAUACGUCACUCCCAUUUCUUGCGAGAUGCCGCCGGCAAUCAGCUGGCGGUCUGACUGCUUAAUUUUCUCUGGCGGUUGCCUCGGUCUGAUGGACCGCGGUCGUCCGGCGGCAAGACGCUUUUAAAUACAAGGCUACUUUCAAAAUUGACUGGCCAUGUUCGCAUCAGUUCGUCGCUCAAUCGCGAGUUAUAGCCUGCAGCAUGCAGUUUGCUAGCUAGCAAAGUCAUCGACUACCAUUGUUUAAAUACCUUAGCCAGAGCAUAACUGGUUAUCUUCACCCAAGAGACUUAGUGUUGGUCAAUAGUUUUGGCUUUAAAGGCUAAUUACUGGGCCAAAAGGAAAAUAAUAUUGAAAAGAGUUGAGAGGGACAAACAGGACAUUCACUUGAAUCACUACAUGCUAAAGAAGUUGCAUCGAUUCCAGAAAACCAGGAAAAUGUUGAGCCAUCUGUAGACUUAAGAGCUGGUUUCUCCCCAGUAAUCCAGACUCCACUUCACAGAGCCAAGAGUUUGAGUACAACUCGUCAAGUACUAAGCUUUACACCAACAGCAGCAAAUUUACCCUGGCAGCAUAUGGGUGAAAACGCUGGAGGAGAAAGUCAUCGCUUUGUUAUUGGCCCUUGGACACCCCUGGCAUCUCGUGUACAGCACAAAGUUUUCAGCUAUGAAGAUUUCUAGAGACUCCAGAAUGAAAACCAAGCUCUGAGGGAGGAGAACCAAGCCCUGGGGGAAUGCAAUGCACAAGCAGGUGAGAACGUGCAUACCAUACCAUACCAUCAUCUACCGCUUAUCCGGGGCCGGGUCGUGGGGGCAGCAGUCUAAGCAGGGAUGCCCAGACUUCCCUCUCCCCAGACACUUCCUCCAGCUCUUCCGGGGGGACACCGAGGCGUUCCCAGGCCAGCCGGGAGACAUAGUCCCUCCAGCGUGUCCU
ensembl:lncRNA